CCAAUUACAUAACCCAAUUUCCCGUACAGGAAGUGUGCGUAGUCAUGGCAACGUCUCUCAUUGGUUUGCACAGGUGUUUGUUUCCUGUAGGCGGUCCGCGUCUUGAAAGACCUCUUGACCUCGUCCAACGCUUAUCAGUGAAUCCUCAAUGUCCUUUUGAAGAAUAUCUGACCUUCAUCCCGGUGACGUGUCUCGCUGGAGGAGGACUGAAGGUCCGUGAGGUCGACACAAAGGAAUAAAGAGUCCAUCCUUGUCUUGGCUCUGAGAAGAAGAGAAACAUGACAAGAAAAAAAAAACUGCCUCGUUACUUUCUCAAUGAUUUUAAUGUCUGUCAGAAAAUAAGACGCCAUCUCAAUCAGAAGGGAACACGUUGCUGUUUGAACGGAACUCGAUCCGCUGAGCCUGAAGGACGUUGGUCUAACCGGCGACCAGGAAGUAAAUCAAUCCAAGCGCUUUGCAGUGUUUAUUUUGGCCCAGUCGACGUUUCGUCAGUGACACAAAGGACGUCUGAAUCACUGGUGCACAGCACAUAUUCAAUCUUGUGUCCUUUUAGGACUUUAAACUCCAGGUUCUCCCCGAGCGCCUGUUGCCCCACAGCUUGUUGGAUGAGUGACAGCUGCUUCACGUUUUCCCGCCUCCUUUCUUCACAUAAAGCUGUCAGUCACAGCGAGAUGACGGUGAGAAGAGGGAAUGGACCUCACCGGCUGGCUGACGGAGAUGUUUCAAUGUGUUUCUGUGUGCAGUCCAGCUGACGGAGUCUCUUA
ensembl:lncRNA